CACCGGUGUACAAGUACAAAUCUCCUCCCCCGCCGGUUUACAAGUACAAGUCACCACCGCCACCGGUGUACAAGUCGCCUCCUCCACCAACAAAGCCAUACAAGUACAAGUCUCCACCACCACCAGUCUAUAAGUCACCACCGCCACCGGUUUACAAGUAAAAACCCCCCCCGCCACCGGUGUACAAGUAUAAGUCACCGCCGCCUCCAGUCUACAAGUCUCCUCCGCCACCAGUUUACAAGUACAAAUCACCGCCGCCGCCAGUCUAUAAGUCACCACCGCCUCCAAUGAAGCCAUACAAGUACAAGUCACCACCACCGCCGCCGGUUUACAAGUCUCCUCCUCCGCCGGUGUACAAGUACAAAUCACCGCCGCCGCCAGUCUAUAAGUCACCACCGCCUCCAAUGAAGCCAUACAAGUACAAGUCACCACCACCGCCGCCAGUCUAUAAGUCUCCUCCACCACCGGUGUACAAGUACAAAUCACCACCGCCACCGGUUUACAAGUACAAGUCACCGCCGCCGCCGGUGCACAAACCACCUCCACAUUACAUCUCUGCGUCACCCCCUCCACCAUACCACGUCUAGAUGAGUCAACCCCCCAAGGUAAUACUACUAAUCAACAACUCAUAUCCAAUCACUGAAUAAGGGGCCGUUUGACAUAGAGAAAAUAUAUUUGUAUUUGUGGGAAAAUUAUUUAUUUUGAAAUUAACAUAUUUGCAUUAGUGACAAAUAUCACAAAUAUUUUUAGUUAUCAUUGGUUUAUCUUAUUCUGAAAAACAAUAACGUAAUUCUAAUUUCCUCAAAUAAAAAAUUUAGUUCUAUUAUUUAUGAAAUAUACAUAUCAAACAUUAUAGCCUAGCAAGUUUUUAUUAAUUAAUAAUACUGACCCCUCUCUCAACAACUCGAGCUAUUGGAGAUACGAUGAUCGAUUUUGGACAUGGUAUCAUAGAUUUAAAAAACCAAGAGGUCUCCUUUUCAAAUCCCGACAGUCUCCAUUCCGUACAUAUGACUUAUCGUGUGAACCUCAUUUCUUCUUAAAACUUCUGUCUGAAGGGCAUAUUAAUGAAUACUAUAUACAAAAUUGAUCUGAACCUUCCCCCAACAACUUACAAUGCAACGAUUCAUGACAAUUUUCUCGAUUUAGUACUCGAUACUCGGUACGAAACGGUGCCUUAAUUACUAACUUGUGUCUUGGUCCU
rnacentral:lncRNA from 1 species